rnacentral:rRNA from 1 species
AGCCAAUAGAUACCCCGGUAGUCCUAGCUGUAAACAAUGACCACUAGGUGUGCGGGGUUCGACCCCCUGCGUACCGUAGUCAAACACAAAUAAGUGGUCCGCCUGGGGAGGUACGGUCGCAAGACUAAAACUACAAAGGAAUUGACGGGGACCCGCACAAGCAGCGGAGCGUGUGGUUUAAUUCGAUGCAACACGAAGAACCUUACCAGGGCUUGACAUGGGCAUGAUAACAGCAGAAAUGUUGUUCCCUUCGGGGCAUGUCCACAGGUGCUGCAUGGCUGUCGUCAGCUCGUGCCGUGAGGUGUUGGGUUAAGUCCCGCAACGAGCGCAACCCUUAUCGUCAGUUAGAAAUGUCUGACGAGACUGCCACCAUAAAGGUGGAGGAAGGUGGGGAUGACGUCAAGUCAGCACGGCCCUGACGUCCUGGGCAACACACA